AGCAGCCGCGGUAAUUCCAGCUCCAAUAGCGUAUAUUAAAGUUGUUGCAGUUAAAAAGCUCGUAGUUGAAUUUCGAGACCGGUUUACUGGUCGUGCUUUUGUACGUACUGGUAUUAUUGGUUUCUCCUUUCUGACGAAUCUUAAUGCCAUUAAUUUGGUGUUUUGGGGAAUCAGGACUGUUACUUUGAAAAAAUUAGAGUGUUUAAAGCAGGCUCACGCUUGAAUACAUUAGCAUGGAAUAACGGAAUAGGACGUUUGAUUCUAUUUUGUUGGUUUCUAGGAUCGACGUAAUGAUUAAUAGGGAUAGUUGGGGGCAUUAGUAUUCAAUUGUCAGAGGUGAAAUUCUUGGAUUUAUUGAAGACUAACUACUGCGAAAGCAUUUGCCAAGGAUGUUUUCAUUAAUCAAGAACGAAAG
rnacentral:rRNA from 1 species